AACGAACGCUGGCGGCAUGCCUAACACAUGCAAGUCGAACGAGACCUUCGGGUCUAGUGGCGCACGGGUGCGUAACGCGUGGGAAUCUGCCCUUGGGUUCGGAAUAACAGUUGGAAACGACUGCUAAUACCGGAUGAUGACGUAAGUCCAAAGAUUUAUCGCCAGGGAUGAGCCCGCGUAGGAUUAGCUAGUUGGUGGGGUAAAGGCCUACCAAGGCGACGAUCCUUAGCUGGUCUGAGAGGAUGAUCAGCCACACUGGGACUGAGACACGGCCCAGACUCCUACGGGAGGCAGCAGUGGGGAAUAUUGGACAAUGGGCGAAAGCCUGAUCCAGCAAUGCCGCGUGAGUGAUGAAGGCCUUAGGGUUGUAAAGCUCUUUUACCCGGGAUGAUAAUGACAGUACCGGGAGAAUAAGCCCCGGCUAACUCCGUG
rnacentral:rRNA from 1 species